GGAUCGCUUACCUCGAAACACUUGUGUGAGAUCACUACUAUCAUUUCUACAUUGUUUAUUUUGCACAUAAGGAAACUGAAAAUCAAAGAGGGUGAUUGUCAAGACCCCUUGCCAGAAAGUGUUGAUAACAACCGUCUCUGACAGUGCAAUGACAGGAAGUCUUUUAUUCACCCGGGUGACAGAAGCUUCUGAGGGGCAAACGUUAUCCUGCCCACCAGCAGCCCGAGGAGAGCCUCAAGAGGAGCCGUGGUUGUCCCAGAAGGGCAGCCCUGAGGGGAG